UUAUAUUGGGAUUCCACUAGAUGUCUUCAAUGAAAAAUUUGGUCUCCUCCUACUCAAAAUUUUCAGCUAUAAAACUAUUUUCUCUUUUAAUCAUUCAUUCUCUGUUUUAUCUUUUCUGCUCCAGCUGUGUUUGGCUUUGGCUUCUAGAUUCAUUUCAAAAUUUCUCUAUUUUUCCGUUUUGUAUGUGGAUCAGGAAGUUCUGCUUAGUUUGUUGUGCUAAGUGCUUUUUUUUAUGAGCAUAUGAACAUUUGAUUCUAUUUUAUUUGGAGAUGAUUGAUUUAGAAUCUUGAUUAUGUGAUUUACAAUCUUUAUUUUGCCUCUGAUUUCAGUUAAGUGUGUCUGAUUCUGAUAAUAAAUUUUCCCUCUUUCGCCAUGUUUCCUUUAUGGAUUCUUUCUGUGGUUAUUUUUUAAAAUUCCUCUUUAAGUUCAGUAACCUAACUGCUCCGACAUCGGCUACAGGAAAUUGCCAUUGGAAGAUAAAUAAACUAACAAGGGAAGAGCUUUAACUAAUAUGUUUGAUGAAAUUCUAAUGUAUUUGAUAAAAUUCUCCAAUGAAAGAAAGAUAGCUUCAGCAAGUCGGUUGACCACUUCUCUGCAAUCUUUCAAGCUUUUUAUCAAUGGACACUGAUACAACUUGAUUUCUACCACUUGUUGCACUUUGAAUCCCCAUUUUGUUGAAUGGGAGAGAAAGUAUGAACUCGAGGGAGAUUCUAGAGCAGCAGAAUAAAGACUGGUCGUAAUGGAAAAAAGAGAAAGGGGCAGGGGGAGGCAAUUGAUGAAAAUGGCAUCGAACGACUAUUGCCAAGGUGAUGCUAACUUGAUAGGUGAACAUUAAUUAGGUGUGGACUAAUAUUAGGCAUAUAUUGUGGGUUUUGUAUAGCUUUUAAUUGGGUUAUAUUCCUAUAUGCGCACGCACACAUACCCCUAUCAAUAUUGCACGAGCGAGCGGCAAUAUGUGUAUGUGUGCAAAGUAUUCUGUUAGAACAUAUUUUACUUAAAGAUAUUACUUGCCAAGUCA